rnacentral:rRNA from 1 species
UACGAAGGGGGCGAGCGUUGUUCGGAUUUACUGGGCGUAAAGGGCGCGCAGGCGGCCAUUCAAGUCAGGCGUGAAAGCCCCGGGCUUAACCUGGGAGGUGCGUCUGGGACUGGGUGGCUAGAGAUCGGGAGAGGAGAGUGGAAUUCCCAGUGUAGAGGUGAAAUUCGUAGAUAUUCGGAAGAACACCCGUGGCGAAGGCGGCCCACUGGCCGGUGCUGGACGCUGAGGCGCGAAGGCGUGGGG